UACAGAGGGUGCAAGCGUUAAUCGGAAUUACUGGGCGUAAAGCGUGCGUAGACGGUUAUGUAAGUCAGAUGUGAAAGCCCCGGCUUAACCUGGGAAUGGCAUUUGAGACUGCAUAGCUAGGGUGCGGAAGAGGGAAGCGGAAUUUCCGGUGUAGCGGUGAAAUGCGUAGAUAUCGGAAGGAACACCAGUGGCGAAGGCGAGUCCCUGGACGAUACCUGACACUGAGGCACGAAAGCCA
rnacentral:rRNA from 1 species